rnacentral:rRNA from 1 species
CCUACGGGCGGCAGCAGUGAGGAAUAUUGGUCAAUGGCCGGAAGGCUGAACCAGCCAAGUCGCGUGAGGGACGACUGCCCUAUGGGUUGUAAACCUCUUUUAUAAGGGAAGAAUAAAUGCUACGUGUAGCAUGAUGCCUGUACCUUAUGAAUAAGCAUCGGCUAACUCCGUGCCAGCAGCCGCGGUAAUACGGAGGAUGCGAGCGUUAUCCGGAUUUAUUGGGUUUAAAGGGUGCGUAGGCGGAAUGCCAAGUCAGCGGUAAAAUCGCGGGGCUCAACCUCGCUCCGCCGUUGAAACUGGCGUUCUUGAGUGGGCGAGAAGUAUGCGGAAUGCGUGGUGUAGCGGUGAAAUGCGUAGAUAUCGAGAGGAACACUCGUGGCGAAGGCGGGUUCCUGGACAUUAACUGACGCUGAGGCACGAAGGCCAGGGGAGCGAAAGGGAUUAGAUACCCCUGUAGUC